AUCGGCGUAAAGUAACCGGAGGAAGGUGGGGAUGACGUCAAUCAUCAUGCCCCUUAUGACCUGGGCUACACACGUGCUACAAUGGUUGGUACAACGAGUUGCGAGUCGGUGACGGCGAGCUAAUCUCUUAAAGCCAAUCUCAGUUCGGAUUGUAGGCUGCAACUCGCCUACAUGAAGUCGGAAUCGCUAGUAAUCGCGGAUCAGCACGCCGCGGUGAAUACGUUCCCGGGCCUU
rnacentral:rRNA from 1 species